rnacentral:rRNA from 1 species
GAUAAACGCUAGCGGCAGGCCUAAUACAUGCAAGUCGAACGGGUUUUGGAUUUAGUUCAAGACUAGUGGCGCACGGGUGAGUAACACGUACACAACAUACCCAUGAGUCGGGGGAUAGCCUUGGGAAACUGAGAGUAAUACCCUAUAGUAUUGACUGGAGGCAUCUUUAGGUUGAUUAAAGCUGAGGCGAUGAUGGAUUGGUGUGCGUCUGAGUUAGGUAGUUGGUGGGGUAACGGCCUACCAAGCCGACGAUCAGUAGGGGGCGUGAGAGCGUGAUCCCCCACACGGGUACUGAGAUACGGACCCGACUCCUACGGAGCAGCAGUA